rnacentral:rRNA from 1 species
GUCCUUUUGAGUCUUAUAAAAGGUCUGACCUGCCCAGUGAUAAUUUUAACGGCCGCGGUAUACUGACCGUGCAAAGGUAGCAUAAUCAUUAGUCUUUUAAUAGAGGGCUGGAAUGAAAGGUUUAACGAGGAACUGACUGUCUCAUUUUAUUUGUUUUAAAAUUUAAUCUUUUAGUCAAAAAGCUAAAAUUUUAUUGGAAGACGAGAAGACCCUAUAGAUCUUUAUAGUAAGUUAUUUAUUUGUUUUUAUAUUAAUUUAUUUAAUUGGCUUUCUAUUUUGUUGGGGUGACAAAAAUAUAUAAGAAACUCUUUUAUUUAUUUAACAUUAAUUUAUGAUUAUUAGAUCCAUUAUUAGUGAUUGUUAGAUUAAGUUACCUUAGGGAUAACAGCGUAAUCCUCCUCCAGAGUUCAUAUUUACAGGAAGGGCUUGCGACCUCGAUGUUGGAUUAAGAUAAUAAUUAGGUGUAGCCGCUUAAUUUAUAGGUCUGUUCGACCUUUAAAAUCUU